AAGAUGAUUAUCUUCUUAUGCCAGCUCUUCCAGUAACUCAUCAGCUAACUGAUCCAUUUCUUCGAUCCAAAAGAGUUGCCUUUCUAUGGUAGGCUUCUUCAUCGCGUCUUUGACAUCAAAGGUCAUCCUAAAGUCUUUGCCAAGGUUUAGAUCAAUCUUCCCUUUCUUGACAUCAAUCAUAGCUCCUGUAGUGGCUAAGAAAGGUCUCCCUAGAAUCAACAGGUCCUUGGGCUCUUCAUCCAUCUCCAGGACUACAAAGUCAGUUGGUAUCUCCACAACACCGAUCCUGAUUGGGAGGUUUUCGAGCAAACCAUGAGGGAUCCUUGCUGAUCUGUCAGCUAGGAUGAGGGAUAUAUUGCAGGACUUGUAUUGAGUGAACCCCAAUCUUUUGGCGACAGAGAGCGGCAUGAGACUGACUGAUGCUCCUAAAUCGCAUAGGCAUCUAUUGAAAGCCAAUGGACCUAAAGAGCACGGUAGAGUGAAUGAACCAGGAUCACUAAGCUUCAAAGGAAUGAUCUUCUUCUGUAUGAUAGCGAUGCAUUCAUGACUCAAUACCACCAUCCCUUGCACUUCUUGAAUUCUCUCCACGAUCAAGUCUUUCAGAAACUUGUGAGAGUCUGGGAUUAGCGCUAGAGCGUCAACAAGAGGUAUCCGCAACUCAACCUCCUUAAUGUUCUUGGCAAACAUAGCUCUAUAUUUGCCUGCCAACGCUUUCUUGUGACGGCCAGGAAAUGGAAGCUGCGGUUUGUAGGGAGGAGGGACAAAGACCUUUUCUUUGUUUUUGAUAGCAACUGGUUUUGGAGCAGUUGGUGAUGCUGCUGGGAUGACAGAUCCAGUGGUUGGUCGAGUAACGCUGUCGAGUGGCAGAUCGAGUGGUUGCUCGAGUGACAGGUCGAGUGGUUGCUCAAGUGACAGGUCGAGUGGUUGCUCGAGACUUAAAUCCUCCCCAUCUUGAUCUUCACUGUCCUCAGUGACCGUCUUUGGUUCCUUCCUAGUUGGAAGUGCUUUUCCACUACGCAGUGUGAUAGCAUGAGCAUAUUCUUUUGGAUUCUGAACUGGUUUGCCUGGUAGUUGGCUUGUCUAUUUUGGAGCUGAAGAAGAUACAGAAUGUCCCUCUAAGUAACGGACUUUGGUAUUCAGUGUUUCCAUCUUGACAUUGAGAUCAUUGUAGCUACAGUCCAGCUUGUUCUGUAACUCAAAUAUCUUCUUUGCCAUCUCCAUGGAGUCAGAGGCUUGCCCGUGAAGCAGCUGUUGUAGCAUUUGUUUCAUUUCAGCAACAGGAGCAGCAGGACAUGGGGCAGAUUCUUCUCCCAGAUGUGUGCUUUGUCUCCCAAGGAGAAUGGAAACAAACGGAGCUUGAAUUCGUCUUCACUGACACCAUUGAUCUUUGUUAGGUUGCAGAACCUAUCGAAUUCAUCAAGGUGGUCGAGUGGAUCCUCCAUUGGCAGACCAUGGAAUUUGUUCCCCUGAAUCAUCAAGAUGAGACCACUCUUAAUCUCGAAGUUGUUGUUCUGGAUAGCAGGAGGUGCAAUUUCCUUCCUCUGACGGUGAUCACGUGGUGCAUCUCUAGCACCAAUGUUGGCAAGGCCAUUUUGUUGAUUCUGUUCGUCAGCCAUUUCGAGUGGUUGCUGAGGUACAAGGUUAACUGUGGUUCUCCUUUUUCUGAGUUCGCGAGUUGUGCGGUUGAUGUUGUCGUUGAAAAUGAGGUUCUGAUUGCCUGUUGAUCGAGUUCGCAUACAGCAGAGGUAUACCUGGAUCAAGAAGACAACAAGUAAAACACACAGUUAGUAACUGAAAAGAAAAUUGAAAAUGAACUUGAUCUAAGCAAGUCUGAAAUCUCAAAUGUAACAAACAAACACCCAAUUGGCAACGGCGCCAAAUUGAUAAUAGGUUUUUGGUCAAUUAUCCUAAAACACCAAUCAUAUCGUUGUAGUAUUUUAGGUUGUCAAUCCAAAUGGGUGUGAUGCUAACAAUAAAGAUGUGAUCAGAAGUCACUAAGUCAAGCCAAGCAAUAACAGGUUUUGGUGUGUUCUAGCAGUUCUAAGUGAACAUGCAGAAAACAGAAAAUCAAACAGAAACAGUAAAACACUCGACCAACACAGCUCUUUGCAGAGCACUGGGUGAGGUUCGAGUGACAGGUCGAGUAAUAGACAGAAAAUGAAACAGGGAUACUCGACUGCACAGUCUGUUGCCAGACAACUGGGUGGUCGAGUAUCAGGUCGAGUAACAGUAAAGAAAUGCAGAAACUAAAUAACAGAUGACAAGAUGCAGUAAACAACAGUAGAGUAAACAAAGAAUUUAAUCAGAUAAAGAAUUCCCGAGGAUGGGGUAAUCGAGUAGCUUCGUUUUCUCAGUUUACAGGUGAUUGACAUGCUCAAUAAAUUAACCCUAGACAACAAGUUCAUUAACCAAAUCUAAGUGCCACCGCAACAGAGACCCUCAAGUUAACCUAGUCUCAGACUCAAUCACUAUUGACGAGAGCUAACCUAACAGGCAUUACGAAUCAACAAGUUAAAGCCAAAACGCUCCCUGCAACCAAUACCUUGGUACAGGGUCACGAAUCUCUGGAAUUAGUGGUUCAGACAUUUCAUCGAACACCUUUUGGGCGCGGAAAUGUUUGGGCUCAAAUUCCAGUUGAUCAGAAAGCAAUAGGCAUUAAGAACAACUAAUCCAGAAGGGAUCUAUCAAUCAAUACUCAAUCACCUAGCAUACUGAGAAUUCUACAUUACUCUAACCCAUCCUCAGAAAUCUAUUCACUACUCAGACAUCAUAACAGAAAGCAUAAACGUUGAACAAGUUAAAAACAUGAUAACAACAGUGUAACAGCAGGAUGAUAACAGAAUGAACAACAGUAAACGAAAUCAAGACAAAAGCUGAAUACUCAAUAC
rnacentral:sRNA from 1 species